CCUACGGGGGGCUGCAGUGGGGGAUAUUGCACAAUGGGGGGAACCCUGAUGCAGCGACGCCGCGUGGGUGAAGAAGCGCCUCGGCGCGUAAAGCCCUGUCAGCAGGGAAGAAAAUGACGGUACCUGAAGAAGAAGCCCCGGCUAACUACGUGCCAGCAGCCGCGGGAAUACGUAGGGGGCAAGCGUUAUCCGGAUUUACUGGGUGUAAAGGGGGCGCAGACGGCGAUGCAAGCCAGGAGUGAAAGCCCGGGGCCCAACCCCGGGACUGCUCUUGGAACUGCGUGGCUGGAGUGCAGGAGGGGCAGGCGGAAUUCCUGGUGUAGCGGUGAAAUGCGUAGAUAUCAGGAGGAACACCGGUGGCGAAGGCGGCCUGCUGGACUGCAACUGACGUUGAGGCCCGAAAGCGUGGGGAGCAAACAGGAUUAGAUACCCCGGUAGUC
rnacentral:rRNA from 1 species